GAUGAACGCUGGCGGCGUGCCUAAUACAUGCAAGUCGAGCGAACUGAUUAGAAGCUUGCUUCUAUGACGUUAGCGGCGGACGGGUGAGUAACACGUGGGCAACCUGCCUGUAAGACUGGGAUAACUUCGGGAAACCGAAGCUAAUACCGGAUAGGAUCUUCUCCUUCAUGGGAGAUGAUUGAAAGAUGGUUUCGGCUAUCACUUACAGAUGGGCCCGCGGUGCAUUAGCUAGUUGGUGAGGUAACGGCUCACCAAGGCAACGAUGCAUGGCCGACCUGAGAGGGUGGUCGGCCACACUGGGACUGAGACACGGCCCAGACUCCUACGGGAGGCAGCAGUAGGGAAUCUUCCGCAAUGGACGAAAGUCUGACGGAGCAACGCCGCGUGAGUGAUGAAGGCUUUCGGGUCGUAAAACUCUGUUGUUAGGGAAGAACAAGUACAAGAGUAACUGCUUGUACCUUGACGGUACCUAACCAGAAAGCCACGGCUAACUACGUGCCAGCAGCCGCAGUAA
rnacentral:rRNA from 1 species